AUAUGUUUUGUUCUAUGGGAUAAUAGACAGUUAACAUGAACUUUAGGAAUUGUGAAGCCUUUAUGUGUUGGUUUUGAUUACAAAAGUGACGUUAGCUGAUGAAGAUUCUCAGAACAAAACGUAUCAGAUCUCCUAAUUGCAACAAAAUAAAUCAAAUUAGUUUCCCCAUAGGAUUUGGCCAAUGAGCAGGGUCUUGCAAAAUUGGGCUACUUUGAAAACGAUGUUGUGGGUGAAAAAGGUUUUUGGGCUACUUCUAAAUUGCAUUUCUCUUUAAUUAUUAUAUAUUUUUUCUUUCACUGUUACAUGCUGCUGCUAACAAUCAGGCAGGCUGUUGUUGAGUGCGUGAGUAAUUGAGUGGUGGGCCGGAGUUGAGAGAGCGCUGCAGCAGGUAGUCAUGACAAGUGAUGUGAGAAACUAACUAAUUAACUAGCUAGCUACUUCUCCCUCAUAAUUCUUAUUUGCCUCGCUUAUUGUAUCCUGACCGCCUCUAGACCUACCAAUCAUUACUAGAGCCAACACAGGAAAGUUGAACUUGUUGACUGAUGCCAAGGCGGAGGCUGCUAAGGAUGCAGUUGCAGACCAGAAGACUGCAGCCAAGGAAGCACUGAUCCACACCUGCCCUGUCUGUUGGAUGCAGACCCGAAGACAUUCAAGCAGAACUUUGAGAGCAAGCAUUCCAAGUCUCCAAUGGUCCCAGUACUGGUUGACGUGCAGGCCUAAGUGACCACACUCAAAUGGACCUACAGCUGGGACACACAAUGACCACGAUUUGAAGGCUGCAAUGGAGACGGAAUGAUGUCGAGGGACACGUGCUGAGACCCCGAGUAUAACUGGACAUGGGCCGGAUAUGUGACAACGACCUAAAAGGGGUGCAGAAUCAAACCAUUUUAUAUUUAUUCCAUGGCCAACAAUCCCUCUAGCUACCCCUUAUUCCACAUGGCCUUUUAUGCCCCAUGGUCCCUCAACUUCAGACCUCUCCAUCUUCUCUAUAAACCCACCCUACAUUCACCCAUUUUCCCUACGCUGCUUCUUUCACUUGUUGUUCUCCUGAUUUGAUAACAUCUAGACUCAGUAACACGUUUAAAAGUGUUGCUGUGUACUACUGUUUUUGCUAUUUUUUUCCCCCACCUGUGUAAUGCUGUCCUGCUGCUUAUUCUGGGGUUUUGACAAUGCAGUGUCAAAUGUGCUGCUCACAAUUGACAGCAGCAAAAUGGACCUGUUAAAUUGACAAGAAGGGUGUUGAUAUAGCUGCUUUUAGGCAUGGCUAUCUUGUUGAGUCUGUUAAGUGCGUUUCUCAUUCUACUUGAGUUGACACAGUAUUUUAUAUUUAACCUACGGUAGCCAUUUUUUUUGUAACUCUAUUUUUAACUCACCCACCAUAAAUCACAAUAUGCUGUUUUACAUUGUGUUAUUUGUGAUGGUCUUAAUUCCCAAAAUGGACAAGCAGAAGAAUCUGUGCACGCUCGGAUAGUAAUAAUAGUUAAUAUGGUGCUCUUCAAUGUCCCAGGUUUGUGGCAUUGAAUCUUUACUUCAAGUUAGAUGUUUAUAUGUUAUGUAUGCAUUGUUCACCAUUUCAAUUUCUUUAAAACAAUGUAAUUGUGUGAGUUCAGGUGUUUGAGUGACUAGGUGCAUUCUUGUCAAAUA